rnacentral:rRNA from 1 species
UAAGGAAUAUUGGUCAAUGGGCGAAAGCCUGAACCAGCCAUCCAGCGUGCAGGAAGAAGGCCCUACGAGUUGUAAACUGCUUUUGUCAGGGAAGAAACCCUUGGAUUCACUCCGAGGCUGACGGUACCUGAAGAAUAAGCACCGGCUAACUCCGUGCCAGCAGCCGCGGUAAUACGUAGGGUGCAGGCGUUAAUCGGAAUUACUGGGCGUAAAGCGUGCGCAGGCGGUUUGCUAAGACAGGUGUGAAAUCCCCGGGCUUAACCUGGGAACUGCGCUUGUAACUGGCAAGCUAGAGUGUGGCAGAGGGGGGUGGAAUUCCAGGUGUAGCAGUGAAAUGCGUAGAUAUCUGGAGGAACACCGAUUGGCGAAGGCAGCCCCCCUGGGCUAACACUGACGCUCAUGCACGAAAGCGUGGGGAGCAAACA